AUUGAACGCUGGCGGCAGGCCUAACACAUGCAAGUCGAACGGUAACAGAAAGCAGCUUGCUGCUUUGCUGACGAGUGGCGGACGGGUGAGUAAUGUCUGGGAAACUGCUCUGAUGGAGGGGGAUAACUACUGGAAACGGUAGCUAAUACCGCAUAACGUCGCAAGGCCAAAGAGGGGGACCUUCGGGCCUCUUGCCAUCGGAUGUGCCCAGAUGGGAUUAGCUUGUUGGUGGGGUAACGGCUUCACCAAGGCGACGAUCCCUAGCUGGUCUGAGAGGAUGACCAGCCACACUGGAACUGAGACACGGUCCAGACUC
rnacentral:rRNA from 1 species